UACGAAGGGGGCUAGCGUUGCUCGGAAUCACUGGGCGUAAAGCGCACGUAGGCGGCUUUUUAAGUCGGGGGUGAAAUCCUGGAGCUCAACUCCAGAACUGCCUUCGAUACUGGGAAACUUGAGUUCGGGAGAGGUGAGUGGAACUGCGAGUGUAGAGGUGAAAUUCGUAGAUAUUCGCAAGAACACCAGUGGCGAAGGCGGCUCACUGGCCCGAUACUGAUGCUGAGGCACGAAAGCGUGGGGAGCAAACAGG
rnacentral:rRNA from 1 species